rnacentral:rRNA from 1 species
AUUGAACGCUGGCGGCAGGCCUAACACAUGCAAGUCGAGCGAGCGGCGGACGGGUGAGUAAUGUCUGGGAAACUGCCUGAUGGAGGGGGAUAACUACUGGAAACGGUAGCUAAUACCGCAUACCAUCAGAUGUGCCCAGAUGGGAUUAGCUAGUAGGUGGGGUAAUGGGACACCUAGGCGACGAUCCCUAGCUGGUCUGAGAGGAUGAACAGCCACACUGGAACUGAGACACGGUCCAGACUCCUACGGGAGGCAGCAGUGGGGAAUAUUGCACAAUGGGCGCAAGCCUGAUGCAGCCAUGCCGCGUGUUUGAAGAAGGCCGUCGGGUUGUAAAGUACUUUCAGCGGGGAGGCGUUACUCGCAGAAGAAGCACCGGCUAACUCCGUGCCAGCAGCCGCGGUAAUAC